CACGUAGGGCGCAAGCGUUAUCCGGAAUUAUUGGGCGUAAAGAGCUCGUAGGCGGUUUGUCGCGUCUGCUGUGAAAACUGGAGGCUCAACCUCCAGCCUGCAGUGGGUACGGGCAAACUAGAGUGCGGUAGGGGAGAUUGGAAUUCCUGGUGUAGCGGUGGAAUGCGCAGAUAUCAGGAGGAACACCGAUGGCGAAGGCAGAUCUCUGGGCCGUAACUGACGCUGAGGAGCGAAAGCAUGGGGAGCGAACAGG
rnacentral:rRNA from 1 species